UAUGUAUUAUAUCAAUCGACAAGGUGGUGCUUGAUUCUCUCCCCUGUCAGGGAGUCCUAGCCCUCUGGGAUCUCUGUAUUGCGCAAGGGAUCCACCUUCAGGCCUCCUCUACUGGGGACUCUCAACAUCCUGGCGGAGAGACUCAGCACAUUUUCUGCUUACAGCUGGUCCCCCAGUGCGACCUAAAUUUUGUGCUCAGGGGGCUCAUGUGCCCCCCAUUUGGGCCCAUAGCCAUGUGUUCACUCUCCCAUCUUUCAUGGAAAGUGGCUUUCCUUGUGGCGAUCACAUCAGCCAGAAGGGUCUCUGAGCUCAGGGAGGAUGUGACCUGCCAUCUUUUUUGCAGGUUGUCUGUGAUUCUGGUGGCUCCAGCAGGGUCGAGACAGCACUGAUAUACCACUCUGGUGUUGCUGUUGGUAGAGGACCCCCAUCUCCCUGCUGCUCCUGCCAGACCUGCAGAUGCAGGAGCUGGAUCAGGGUCACCUGUGCCAUUCAAACCUGCAAUCCUUCCACCUCAUAGCCUGAAAAAUCUGUGGUUUAGAUGUGGAGAAUUUCUGUGUUCGGACCCGGUUAGGUGGGUACUGAUGGAAAGUAGGAAGUCCUCCACUAGGGCACCUUACAGGGCUAAAUGGAAGCGGUUCUCGGCCUGGGCAGCCCAGUAGGGAGUGGACCUCCUUUGGGCUACUAUCCCUCAGAUUCUGGAUUGCUUUCUCGAGCGUAGGCUGCAGUGGUUGUCCAUCUCUUCAGUGAGGGUACGCUUGACCGCCAUUGCUGAUUUUCACCCUGGAGAUGGUCUGUGUUUGCCAAUUCGGUAGUUAAGCAUUUCCUGAAGGGUCAUGACAGGCUCUAUCCCCAGAUUAGACAGCCAGUCCCCUAGUGAGACCUACAUUUCGUGCUCCAGGGGCUCUCACCCCUGUUUGGGCCCAUAGCCAUGUGUUCACUCUCCCAUCUUUCAUGGAAAGUGGCUUUCCUUGUGGCAAUCACAUCAGCCAGAAGCGUUUCUGAGCUGACGUCCCUUACAUCGGAGCCCUCGUACACCGUGUUCUACAAGGUGGUGAUGCUCCCGCACCUGGCCUUCCUGCCCAAGGUGGUAUCUCCAUGCCAUAUGUCUCAGGACAUUUUCUUAUUGGUCUUCUACCCCAAGCCUCGUGGACCGGAAGGAACAGGCUCUACAAAAACUCCCUGGGUCAGGGACCAUAUCCUCAUAUGUGUCUGCACAGCAUUGAGAGUAAAGAGAGCGCUUGCAUUUUAUUUUGUUGGAACAAAACUGUUUCGUAGGUCCACGCAGCUUUUCAUCACCAUAGCUGAAGGGCCUCCUGGUGUCAGCCCAGUGCCUGUCCUCAUGGAUCACAGCAUAUAUUAAGAUGUGCUAUGACCAAGCGGGGAAACCAGCCCUUCUUCUUAGGGCCCAUUCUACCAGGGCCCAGGCCUGCUCUAGCACAAGUUCCGAUACUAGACAUCUGUAGUCAUCGGUCCAUACUUUCACAAACCACUGUGACCACUCAGCAGGCUAGAGAGGAUGCAGCCGUUAAGAGAGUGGUGUUGCAGUCUAUUUCCUACUAAGUUCUGACCCCCUCCUCCAUGGGUACAGCUUGGGAAUCACCUAGGUGGAAUGCACAUAAGUACUCAAGAAAAAAGUUACUUACCUUGUAACUGUUGUUCUUUGAGAUGGGUUGCUUAUGUCCAUUCCAAAUCCCAUCCACUUUCCCUUAAUCAGAAAGUCCAGUUAGAAGGAACUGGGCGGGGGGACCAGCAAGGGUAUAUAUGGGCCAGUAUAGCCGUGCCACUCCAGGGGGCUCCCUGGCUGGCCCAACGGAUACUGCUAAGGGUAAAAAGCUUCUAGAACUCAUGCACAUGGUGUGCACACAUGUAGGUGGAAUGGACAUAAGCAACACAUCUCGAACAGUUAUGAGGUUAAUUGUUUUUCCUGCUCCAUGAUUUUGCCCACAUUCUGCCAUAUAUUUUUGUGGUAUGGUAGUUUCAGAUGACAACUCAGAACAUGUUAAAUCAAAUAACACUUUCACUGCAGAUUUGACAAAGCACAAAAAAAGUGUUCAAUAUCAGAUUUAAAUAUAGCAACAGUACUCCACUCAAGGUUUAAGAAUGUCAAGUGCCUUCCAAAAUCUAAAAAGGAGAAGCAAAGCAUAUGUUCAGAACUUUUAAAAGAGCAAAACUGGUGCAAAGCUACAGAAUCCAAAUCACCAAAAAAGAAAAAUAGCCUUCUUUUGACGGCAUAUAACUCAGAUGUUGAUGAACAUGUAGUGAGUCACACUGCUCUUGAUUGUUAUCAGCAUGGAUGUAUGUUGUCUGAAAUGGUGGUUGAAGCAUGAAGGGACAUGAAUUUGUAGCAUAACUGACCAAUGUUCUCUCAAUGUUUUCCAUCCAUGUGCAGAUUGAAUUUUGGUACAUACACCAAUAUCAAGACAAUGUGCGGAUGUGUACUAUUAUACAAAUAAAAAACCACACAUACAUAUUUUAAGUGUAAAUGUAGUUUAAAAGAUAUAGAAGUAGUAUAACAUGAUAAUUAACAAGGUGCACUGCUUAAGAUGUUUAAUAUAAAAUCAAAGAAAAUUAAACACUGCCUGUAGAGUACAUGUAUUUUAUCAUCCUUUCUAACAACUCAAGCUAAUAAGCAUGCCAAGAUGUUGUGCAUUGAGAACAGCUAUAUAAAUAAAACCAAGUCAUGGCCAUUAAGUGAAAGCAAGAAAAACAUGCCCCAGUGGCCCAAUUUAACGACCUAUCCUACCAUAAACCACUAACUCUCCAAGGAAAGCUGCCCUUUAAAAAAAAAAAAAAAAAAAAAAAAA